rnacentral:rRNA from 1 species
UACGGGGGGGGCAAGCGUUGUUCGGAAUUACUGGGCGUAAAGGGCUCGUAGGCGGCCAACUAAGUCCGACGUGAAAUCCCCAGGCUUAACCUGGGAACUGCGUCGGAUACUGGAUGGCUUGAAUUCGGGAGAGGGAUGCAGAAUUCCUGGUGUAGCGGUGAAAUGCGCAGAUAUCAGGAGGAACACCGGUGGCGAAGGCGGGUCUCUGGGCAACAACUGACGCUGGAGGAGCGAAAGCGUGGGGAGCGAACGGG